GGUCUUGCUGGGGGGGGGGUGGGCUUUGAGCGUUUAAGGCCCCACCCUAUUUGCAGUUCACUCUCUCUGGUUUGUUCUUUUGAUUCAAAAUGUGUGCUCGUGGCUUCCUGCCAGAGCCACCUGCCUCUGCUGUGUGUUCAUGGAUUCUUAUCGCUCUGGAACUAUAAGCCAAAAGAGAACUGCGCUGGACUGUUUACUUCAAAGUUGAUAAGAGAUUUUUAAAGAGCCUCGUCACACAGGGAAAAAAGGAGUUGGUAGGUUUCCACCCGUGGUCUCUUGGCUUUGCUUCCUACGACGAGGUAGGACAUCACGGCAGGGAGCAUGUGGUGUAGCAUGCUGCCAGACCAAAGAAGGGGCUCGGGUAAGAUACAGCCUCUGAGGCCAUGCCCCAGAGGACUCCCUUCCUCCAGCUGGAUCCAGCUGCUGAGUUUCCGUCACUUUUCAACAGUCUGUCAAAUCUGGACUCCAUUAGUGGACUAAUCUGCUGCUGCCAGAGCCCUCAGAAUCCGGUGUCUUCCUCUGCUGCACUGAGGGCUAAGCCUUGAACAUAUGAACCUCCAGGAGACAUCCCGCAUCCAACCAUAACAAUAAAUUAAUUAUCUUGAUGGGUUCUUUCUACCAUAUGGAACUAGACCAGAAUGCUUUAUUGUACUUUAGA